rnacentral:lncRNA from 1 species
AGCGCCCGGACGACGUCCCAAAAUGGGGGGCGUAGCUCCUCGUCUUCAAUUGCUGCGUCUGCGGGCCGGGGGCGGGGGGCGCAGGCAGGAAAACGCCCCGAGCGGCGUUCUGAUUGGAUGACGGCUCUGACGGUCUCGGCAGGAUUGAUACUCCAAGAAGCCCUGACACAUAGCUUCUGCUGAUUUGCUGUGUUGGAAAGGUGCAGCUGGGCUUGAUGAAGAUUAUACAACCAUGCCUAGAGGAGAGCUGAUAGGAGUACCAGGUGAAGAGGGUGUUGGGAGUCUGGAAGAGUGCCAUCAGCCUCUAAUGAGAUACAGAAUUCUUGGAAAAAAAGUGGAAGCUCUGCGAUGUACCUGGACUAACUUAGCUGCUCUGCUUUAUGUGUGGCAUUUUAUCAGGUAUUAUUCAGAAGCCAUGAAAGAUCAUGAAAAUCAUUGUGAAAAGACAUCACUACUGUAUUUAUGCUGAUUUGCCAGAACUGAAGAUUUGGCUGAUUCUGAUUUAGUGCUGUACAACUUCCAGCUUCUCUAUGUGUGAGAGAAAAGAGAUUGCUAAACAGUAAAAAUCCAACCCUUUUUGCUAUAUUGAUAGAAAAACAGACCUCUCUGGAGAACUCGAUUUUGUAAUUGUUUGUGCAUUAGGCAGAACAUUAAUUGGUUUGGCAUGUUAGUUGACUUAUAAUUGGGAAAUCUAUUGGAAGGAAGCAUAUUCCGUAAGCACAUAAUUACAGACAGUGCCUUUCCAAAUUACUAAGAUUUACAUGCCCCAGGCAUGCCUUGAAUGUUAAAUUUCAUUUAUUCUAUGCUUUAUAUUGUAAAUCUCUUGUGCUUUUUUUUUUCUUUUGGUCAGGUUUGGGUUUAGGAAGAGGGUGAUUGGGCCCUGGAACAGGCUUCCCAGGGCAGUGGGCAUGGCCUCAAGCUGCCUGAGUUCAAGGAACGUUUGGAAAAUGCUCUCAGACGUAGGGUUUGGAUUUUGGGUGUUGCUGUGUGGAGCCAGGAGUUGGACUUGAUGAUCCUUAUGGGUCCCUUCCAACUCGGGGUAUUCUGUGAUUCUAACCUGUUCCAACUCACCUCUGGAAGAACACUUUCAGAUCUUUAGAUUAAAGAAGACAUUCAUUAAUGAACUGAAAUUUUAAACUGCCAAUAUUUACGAGAGAUUAAGAAAAACAUGAGAGCAUGAGUCACUGUAAAAAAGCACUAAGUAACCCAGAAGAAGAAAAGAAAGAAAAAAAAGAUUCAAUCAGUUGGUCAAAAUCUUUGGCAAGCAGGUGGAAGGAUGUAUGCACACAGUAUAGGUAGAAAAUUAGUUAUGAUUCUGUAAAGUGAUAGAGUAGCAAAAAUAGCAGUAUAAUUUUGGGUUGCUGCUUGAGUGGAGAGAUGAUCGUUGCUGAGGAAGCAUCACCACCUGUGAUCAGAGGUAAGUAGUGAACGUAAGCAUGAAUUACAAGUUGUGUGUAUGGCACUUCCAU